UGUACGAUCGGCCUCCUGGGAUGCUCAGGGC
rnacentral:piRNA from 1 species